GUGAGGGUCUGAGCAGCGGCAGGGCCGCUGCUGGUAUGUGGGCCUCCCUGUCUGGGGGACGUGCCAGGUGGGGCUGUCGCUGAACAGGCGAGAGGUCCUCUCCCCCUUGCCAAGCUGCUCAGAGCCAGUUCUGUUUACCCAGAAACCAGAGCGGGCGCAGGGCUCAGCCCAAACCGGCCCCCUUCAGGGCCCACAGAGGAAGGAGUGGCGGAGGCCAGGCCGGGCCUCAGGCUCAGAGGGAGGAGGGGGAGUGCUAGUUCCAGCCCAUCUCUGUCCCCAGAUCACUCACUGGCUGGGUGGGUGCUGCACCCUCCGUGUGACCCAUCCGCCCAGGGGAGGACGGAGAAGGACCCACUGCAAACCUACCAGCUGCGCCGAGCCCACCCUGAGAGCCCUUAGGUGAGAAGAGUGGCCAGGGUUAAUCGAAACACCCAAACUCAGCCUGUUCCUUUUUGCUUUGGGAACGUGGUCCAGAGAGCUUUUAAGUGGCACCUGUGGCCCAUAUUAUGCAGAAGGGCACUGAUGGACACUCUGCCCUUCCUCGGCUGCCUCCCCACCAACACGCACACAUUCAUUUGUUCAGUGCGCUCAGGGAAUAUUCAUGAGCUGGAGAGCGUUAAACACGGGAGACAGAAGGAAAGGAUCCCUGUGGCCUUUGAGCCACAGGAGCUUCUGAACUCUGCCUCAAAGAUCCCUCGCGGCUUGUGUCGCGCACACCCACAUCCUGAAACGCUGCCCUGCUUACUUUCACACUUACUUCUGGAAGGGCUUCCUAACCUUGUCUGCCUGGCAAACUUCUAUUUAUGCUUCAAAGCCCCAAAACCUUCACCCACUUCAAACACUUACGUCAUCUAGGCCUUCACUAAUUUUUUUUUUUAAAAGCCACCUCUUGAGGACUCCACCAUCACCUCCACUCUCUCCGAGGACUCUUCCCUACUAAUUUUGGGAUGUCUGCAGUUUGACGAAGUCAUCAAGGUCAUUGUCACCUCCCAUCUUCCUUCCCCUCCUCCCAGGAACUCUGCCUCACUUACCCUCUUUAACUUUCUCUGCAGAAGAGCCACCGUCUGAAACCACCUAGGUUGUGACCUGUCUGUCCUCUACAGAAGUGAGAUUCCCUGCAAGGGCUCUGGUCUUCCUCCUCCCAGGGCAAGGUCCAGUGCCUGUCGCGGUUCUUGGGGCCCUGAAGGCACCUGGGAUGUGCAGAUGGUGGACGCUGGCAGCCGAGGGCAGGAUGUGAACCACAGGCCCUGGAGCUGGAUUGCGGGGUUCUAAUCCCGGCCUUUUCUCAGACCCCAUUGACGGUCAUGGUCAUCAUCAAAUCAUGCAGUUAGCUACGGUGAUCAUCACAGACCUGUCCCCAGCUGCUCCAGCAGUGGCCUGAGCGCCCAGGCUGUGUCUGGGUCCUGCCAUGCCCAGCACGUCUCAGAAUCUGUCUUCCCAUUGCAGAAAUGACACUGACACCCACCUGCAGCUUCUGAAGCCAGAAACCUAAGGUCACUACUGUCACCGGCGCAUCACCCCAUCACCAAGCUCUUUCAGAUGGAUCUUUGUUUCCUACAGAUGCCCUUGUCUCCCCGUCUUCCCCACCUGUCCAGUCCAGGCCUCUCAAGAUCUGCACCUGGUAGCUCCCUGCAGGAGCUCAGUCUAUCAGUCACUCCUGCCCCAGCCCCAGGGCCUUUGCAUGUGCCAGGCCACUCUUUCCUCCCCCACUGAUUUCUCUGAUGCUUUAGUCACAUCAAAUCUCCACACCGUGCCCUGUCACAGGGCUGUUUCCCCUGCUGGCCACUGGUGGUAGUCAGCAUCUUCCACCAGUGACAGAGCCCCACCCAGGACUCUGAAGCAGGAGUGUCAAGGGUGCUAUUAAGCCCUCCAGCCCCAGUGCCUUGAGCACCACGUGGCACAUCAUGGGGGGUUGCUCUGUGUCCCACGAACGAAAUGAAUUCCCAGCUACGCGAGUGAGCGGAGGGUGCUCAAAAAUGGACCUGCAGCCCGGGCAAGGGUGGAGCCUGGGCCAGGUGUGUGCUUUCCCCUCCACACAUGGCUGCCGUGGUGACACCCGUGUGACACUGAGCACAAGUCAGCCCGGGGGCUGUGGACCUGGGGGGCGGCUGCCUGGGGAGCUGGAAUCUGAGGGCACCGUGGUCACUGUGCUCCUGGGCUACGGGGUCACAGCGACCUGGGUCUGAGUCCCAGGGAGAAAGUAGAAGCCGCACCUGCCCAGUUCCCAGGGCCCAGCCCUGCCGAGGACUGGACUGUCCCCCCAGCAGAUGCCUAUUAGCGUCUAAAACUUAUAUGUGAGGACGCAGAGGCACCAGGGGCUAAGCUCCUAUCCAAGAUGACCAGCUGGGAGAGGACGUUCCUUUUCUCCAAGACCCACCUGAAGUCCCUGCCUAUGUCAAGUGGCCAGCCUCCCCGAGGCCCCGCCCAUCCUCCCCCAGCAGGUGCCUGGUCAGCAUCGGCCCACACUCUGCUGUCCGUGGCCGCCAGACCCAUCUCCUUCCUUCCUCCCUUCUUUCCUUUCCGACUGGCAUUGAACCCAGGGGCGCUUGACCACAGAGCCACAUCCUGGCCCUUUUCAUAUUUCUAUUUAGAGAUAGGGUCUGAGUUUCUCAGGGCCUUGCUGAGUUGCUGAGGCUGGCUUUGAACUCACGAUCUUCCUGCCUCAGGAUCUGACUUCAGAGUCUGGCCCACAUUUUGGGGACUCGAUAAUCCCAGCAGCUAGGGAGGCUGAGGCAGGAGGAUCGUGAGUUCACAGCCAGCCUCAGCAAAAGUGAGGCCCUAAGCAACUCAGUGAGACCCUGUCUCUAAAUAAAAUACAAAACAGGGCUGGGGAGGUGGCUCCGUGGUCGAGUGUCCCUGAGUUCAAUCCCUGGCACCAAAUAAAUAAAUAAAAUAGACAUAACAAGCACUUACUAUGUGCCAAGCACCUCUCUAAAAACUUCACAAAUGAUUUUUAUUUGAAUAGUUUGUAACCCACCUCAUUCCAAAAGAACUCUGUGAGGUGAGUAUCAGGGUCUUCAUCUUAGGGGUGAAGAAACCGAGUUUUAGAGAAGCCAAGUAACUUGUCUGGGGUCACACAGCCAGUGAAGGUGGCAGACUUGGGUGGAAAUGAGGCUGAAUACUCCAGAAUUCAAGCUGUCACCUGUCUGCCUCACUGCCUCGGCUCAGUGAGUGAGAAUCACUAUUAUUUACCGAGAUUUUGUAGGGGGGGAAGGGAGGAGUGCCGUCCUAGCCGGGAGGACAGUGGGGAGAACACAGUCAGGAGGGGAGUGUAGGAUUGGGGGGGAGGGACAGUGAGGUCUCAGCACCGUGGAGCUGAGGGCCCAGGGAAGGCCAGAGUGUAGAUGAGACCUGAGGGAUAGAGUGGGAAUUCAACCUCCAUGGAAGGAACCAGCAUGAGCUUCUGUCAAGAAUCCCUACGGGAUGGAUUCCAUGGGAGGUAGGAGUGUGAAAAGUAGGAGUGUCAGAACCUGACAGCUCUGCUGGGUGGCCUUUGGAAAGUUACUUAACCUCUCUGUGCCUCCAUUUCCUGUUCCAUAAAAUGGAGGUAGUAACAGGCCCCCCCCCCCUUCACUGGAUCGUUGUCUGGGAGAAAUAAAAUAAUAAAUGUCAAGCCCCUGAUGGUGUCUGGCAGAAAGCCACCAUUUAACAUAGUUCAUUUCCCUCCCUUCCCCAAGACCUCUCCAGCUGUGCCAGAAUCAAGAGUAAACUACGGUUUCAAAGCGUGUCUGAGACUGAGAAGAAAGAAGAGUUGAUUUCCGUGUCGCCUCUGCGUUAUAAACUGAACUUCCCAGCUCGGUGCCCGGAGAGGGGGGUGCUCAGGAGGCAGGCUGGCAGCAACAAAAAUAAAGAGUUCUGCCCUCGCUGUCCCGGGCCGCGGCCGGGCAGAAGCUGGUGAGGCCUGAACUUGGCGCUGCAGGGCAGGGGACCUGGGAUCCAGGCCCAACCCUUCCUGGGACAUGGACAUGUCACAAGCCAGCACCUGGUUAGGCACUGGGUGCCCUGGGAGGCUAGCUUCCAGCAUGGCGGGGAGCCGGGGUGGGGGGGCCUGCAAUCCCCACCCCCUGCCUCCCACGCCUGUGCCCCCCAGUCCUGCCUCCUGCCUCCUCCAGACCUUGGAUUUUUAAAAAAAUUCUCUUGAUGGGAUUUGUCCCCUCUUGUGAGAUGCCCUCCUUCCCUCAGCCCCUCGACCCAGGAGUAGACAGAGGGCGGGCUUUGGAAUUAGACCGGGUUUGAAUUCUGACAGUCUGGUCACCUUGGGCUCAUGACCCCUCUAGGCCCAUUUCCUCCACUGUAAACUGGGCUUUGUGACUCCUGUCUCCUUCCUUUAUGUGACCACCAAUGGUGCCAAAUAUUUAGCCUUACUGUAUACACCAGGCACUGGGAGAGGAUUUGCGGGCCUAAGUCCCAUUCCUUUUCCUCCAAGACCCACCUGAAGUCCCUGCCUAUGUCAAGUGGCCAGUCUCCCCGAGACCCCGCCCAUCCUCCCACAGCAGGUGCCUGGUCAGCACCCGCCUAGGCUGUGGUGUCCGUGGCCGCCAGGUCAUCUCCUUCCUCCCUCCCUCCCUUCCUUUCAUACUGGCAUUGAACCCAGGGGGGCUUAACCACGGAGCCGGGGCCUUUUAAUAUUUUAAUUUAGAGACAGGGUCUGCCUGAGUUGCUUAGCGCCUUUUUUUAGAACCACACACGCCAAACAAAACAGCCUCUCAGGAAAAACCCUCAGAGCCUCAACUGCCACCACCGGCUUUCCACAAGCCUCUCUCUCCCACACAAGCUUCUCUCCACCUCCCACAAUCCUCCUGCUCUUGAGGCCGAUUGGCUGGGUCACGUGGGCGGAGCCAAAAAAGUCCCCCAAUGAGCAGCUCCGUGGUCUGAAAGGGCAGGGACUUCCAGCUGCCAGCAAACUUCCAGCUGCCGGCUGGUGAUUGGCUCACAGCGCGCCUUGCUGUUGCUGAGGCUGGCUUUGAACUCCCGGUCCUCCUGCCUCAGCCUCCCAUCCACUGGGAUUUCAGGGCGUGGGCUGCCAAGCCCGGUGCCUGGCCUCUUUCCGUUGGAGGAGCUCCCUGGGGACAAACCUGCCUCAGUUACAGCCAGGCUGCCGGCACCCAGCAGGGGAAGGGGUGAGUGAAAGCUGCAGGGCGGGGGAGGGUGCGCCAACAGAGGGCGCGGUGGGCACUGGCACUGCCUGGUCCUCUGCUCUGACUCCCUGAGCUCAGGCCGCCAGCCCCCCUCAGCUCUCUGGAGCCUCCUCUGGGCCCCCGUAGCUCCUGGACCUGGAUCAGGCUUUUCUAACCCAAAACUAGGAUGUUCACCCUGAGGGACGGCGGCCGUGGGGACCAUGCAGUGGCCAAGUGGGGAAGCUACAGGGUGACACAGUGGAGCAGCUCUGGACUUCCUAGGUUGGCCCGGUCGUGGGCUCCCUGGCCUGGCCAUGCAUGCAGGCUGCAGGAAUCAUCUCCCAAGGGCUCAGGAGGUGACGUGCUUUCUCUGCUGCGAUGGGGCGGGGACAUGGUCCUGUGCAGGAUCAGAGGCCGAAGCAGGAGCCACUUACGGAAACGGAAUCGGAAUUGUUCAAUUUUACCUCCCAACCAAGUCUCCCCCAUGUCAUAGAUCGCUUCAAACGGGCUACAGAAUAGAGCCCAAUUCUGUCUCAGCAACCAAGGUCUCCUGAGGCUGCUGUGCCUUCUCCUUCGCUGACUUCCUCCCUCGCCCACCCAGGGCAGAACGGGGGACUUCCUGUCCCCUGGUCUCACCAGCACUUCCCCCUGCGGCCAGCUGUGGUUUCAAAAGGGCCCCACGGUGCGCCAGACCACGCCCCCAAUGAGUGGCAGCGCCAUCUCCCCCUCCCCUGACCUGGGUGGGCCCUGGCUGCUCAGAGCACCAGCACAUGUUGGAAGUGGCGUUGGCUUUCUGGAUAUUGUCCCCAAGUGGCAGCCUCUGCUUCCUGCCUCAGGGGAGGUACCUGCUCUAGGUGACAGCCCCCGCGGAGCUCCCAAGUGCCCAGCGUGGUGCAAAGUCCUGGGAGGGAGCCAUCAUCGACCCCCAAGCUGCUGAGCCUUCAGAACAUCAGGCCACAACCACAGAACCCCCUGAGCACCCCCCAGCGGAUCCCAGUCAGCUGAAGGUGGCAGAGAACAGGUACCAGUCUGCACCCACCCACCCACUCCACCAUGGCACCCACCACUCCUGUCAGGGCCUCUCACACCUCUGCCCUCUCCUAAAAAUGGUUUGCAACAGUCACGAUGGCUUUGUAUUGAGAUCCCUUGUUCCUUUUAAGACAGGCUUAAACUUAUUCCAAAACAGAGAUUUUCCUUCUUUCUCCGCCGACCCCUGCCCCUCCUCCCAUUUGGGAUUGAACUUGGCCUCGCACACCGAGCUGCAUUCCCCAGCUCCCUAAACAGAAAAUUCCUAUCACUUCUCAAAAUGGAAACCAGUGUCACUUGCCAUUAAUAGAAAGUAACAAAAGAAAUCAGAUGAAACAAUGUCAUUAAAUUCCAGCCAGACAGGGCCACCUUCCAAAGUGUCUGAGCCCAGGGCUCACCGUUUCCUCUUGGAAAGCUAAGGAACAGUGCUGCAGGGACACUGGUGACACAGUCAACCAGGCCCUGAGUUCCAGGACCCGGGGUGACACACAUCAGCUUUGGGAUCCCCGGGUCUGGAACUGAGCCAGGUGGCCUUGGAUGCAGCAGAGCUGGGCAGCCUGUGACCCCUGCUGGACUGACUUUGGCGCUCACUGGUCCCCGGAUCAAGGUUCCCCCGGAUCAAGGUUCCCCGGAUCUGGCCGGCUCUCAGGAUUUAGGAAGGCCCCCAACUUUCCAAUACUGUUUUUCAAAAACUAGGUGUGUGUGUGUGUGUGUGUGUGUAAAAUACUCUUCUUCCCAAAGUGGCGAACACCGUUCCUGCUUCUGGCACUGAACUUGGACUUGCCACCCUACCCGUCCCCAGCUCUCGCAGCACCUCCGGGGGCUGUUUCUGUCGUUAUUUCCGUAUUUCCUCUGGGAGCACUCUCAAUGUGGCCUUUGUGUGUCCACCUUCUGAGGCUUUAUUUGCCCAAGAAUAUUUUUUUAAUGACCUCAUGUUUAAGUGACAGUUUGGCUGCCUUGGAGAUGCUGGAUUGAAAGGUUCUUUUCUUUCAGUCCUUUAUGACAUUACCUCCCCGGCUUCCUUUGUGGGGUGUUGUUAGGGAGAACUCUGUCCGUCUGAGCCUUGCUGCUGGGUCCGUGAUCUGCUGUUUCUGCUCCUCCUCCUUUUCCUUCACGUUUCUAACUUUGCCAUUGUGUCUCUGGGUCUUUCUUCCUCUGUUGGCUCUUGCAUGGGUCCUUUCAAUCUACCUUCAUUCACAUCCCUGUCAUUUUGGAAUAUUUAAUCUCCAUUAUUUCUGCAGAGCGCCAGCCAGGACAAGCGGCUUCUUCACCUUUAGGUUCCCAGGGAGAAGUGGACAGUGAGGAGGAGACACUCUCGUGAGAUUCAC
rnacentral:lncRNA from 1 species